GACAGAUUGCAUGUUUCUACUACCACCUUGCAUGUUUCUACCACCACCUUUGCACACCCUUGGAGCACCACCUCGGCAUCCACAUCAACAUCAGCUGGCCACCUCACCACCACUCCAACCAAUGGAAGCACACCAACCAGGAUGAAGUCAAGCAUAAGGAGCCGACCACAUCAUGCCAUCUCAUCAAAGGAACCAAUGCAACA
rnacentral:lncRNA from 1 species